rnacentral:rRNA from 1 species
AAUAGAUACCCUGGUAGUCCACGCCCUAAACGAUGUCAACUGGUUGUUGGGGUUUAUUUUCUCAGUAACGAAGCUAACGCGUGAAGUUGACCGCCUGGGGAGUACGGCCGCAAGGUUAAAACUCAAAGGAAUUGACGGGGACCCGCACAAGCGGUGGAUGAUGUUCUUUAAUUCGAUGCAACGCGAAAAACCUUACCCACCUUUGACAUGUACGGAAGUUGCCAGAGAUGGCUUCGUGCUCGAAAGAGAACCGUAACACAGGUGCUGCAUGGCUGUCGUCAGCUCGUGUCGUGAGAUGUUGGGUUAAGUCCCGCAACGAGCGCAACCCUUGCCAUUAGUUGCUACGAAAGGGCACUCUAAUGGGACUGCCGGUGACAAACCGGAGGAAGGUGGGGAUGACGUCAAGUCCUCAUGGCCCCUAUAGGUGGGGCUAGAAACGUCAUACAAUGGCCGGUACAAAGGGUCGCUAAGCCGCGAGGUGGAGCCAAUCCCGAUAAAGCCGGUCGUAGUCCGGAUCGCAGUCUGCAACUCGACUGCGUGAAGUCGGAAUCGC